CGUUAAGACCUAACCUUAAACUAAACAAACAAUUUGAAACAAACAGCCUAGACGGAAGCAUACUUCUCGUACAAUGGGUAGAAACAACUUCAGAGCGACCCUCUAAAUACCCUGGAAAUGAGGCAACAGCUGUGGAAAAGGGCCCUGUGCCGGAUUAGAUGAUCGGCGUCUGGUUUUGCAACAUUUGCCCAGUUAUUAUCUUUGGGAGUUGGCGGCACUGGUUGAUUUACGGCGAUGAAUUUCCUAAGUGGAACAAGUCAAAUAAAGCAAGAUCAUUUGUAACCGUUCCCCAACACGCAACGUGAUGUAAAAGGGAGAGGUAUGAGGG